GAUGAAGAACGUAGCGAAAUGCGAUAAGUAAUGUGAAUUGCAGAGUUUUGUGAAUCAUCGAAUCUUUGAACGCACAUUGCGCCCGUCAGUAUUCUGGCGGGCAUGCCUGUUCGAGCGUCAUUACGCCCCUCAAGUCCCCUGUGGACUUGGUGUUGGGGAUCGGCGAGGCUGGUUUUCCAGCACAGCCGUCCCUUAAAUUAAUUGGCGGUCUCGCCGUGGCCCUCCUCUGCGCAGUAGUAAAACACUCGCAACAGGAGCCCGGCGCGGUCCACUGCCGUAAAACCCCCCAACUUUUUAUAGUUGACCUCGAAUCAGGUAGGACUACCCGCUGAACUUAAGCAUAUCAAUAAGCGGAGGA
rnacentral:misc_RNA from 1 species